GACGAACGCUGGCGGCGUGCCUAAUACAUGCAAGCCGAGCGAGACUCUUCGGAGUCUAGCGGCGGACGGGUGAGUAACACGUGGGCAACCUGCCUGUAAGACUGGGAUAACACCGGGAAACCGGUGCUAAUACCGGAUAAUCCUUCUCCUCUCAUGAGGAAAAGCUGAAAGUCGGUUUCGGCUGGCACUUACAGAUGGGCCCGCGGCGCAUUAGCUAGUUGGUGAGGUAACGGCUCACCAAGGCGACGAUGCGUAGCCGACCUGAGAGGGUGAUCGGCCACACUGGGACUGAGACACGGCCCAGACUCCUACGGGAGGCAGCAGUAGGGAAUCUUCCAUAAUGGACGAAAGUCUGAUGGAGCAACGCCGCGUGAGCGAUGAAGGCCUUCGGGUCGUAAAGCUCUGUUGUUAGGGAAGAACAAGUACCGGAGUAACUGCCGGUACCUUGACGGUACCUAACCAGAAAGCCACGGCUAACUACGUGCCAGCAGCCGCAGUAACAC
rnacentral:rRNA from 1 species